ACAUUUUGUCUGCCCUGGAAUAUCAGAAGAAACACACAGAGUGAGCAACAGUGUGAGUGGUGGCCAAGAAUGUGGGAAUCCACUGCUAGGAGCAGUCACCACCAAGAGAAGAAAGAAGCAUCAAGGAUUCCCAGAAUUCUAACCAGAUUGUGCAGAUGGAUCUAACAUCUUCAAAGGCUGAAUCCACAGGUGUCAUUCCCACCCUACUCUGAGCAGAAUAUAUCAUAGAUCAUCCAGACUUGCCCUCUUCUGGAUUUUGGAUUUACUGGUUUCAAGCACCUCAACAGACGACCUUACAUAGGGAUUCAGGACUCCAAGGAUUGACCACUCUGUUACAAUAAUAUUUUAAUUUAUGGAUGGAGCUCUGGAAAAAGAAACCAUGAGGAACAAGUCAGCAUUGGCAGAAGAUUAGGUUAGAAAUUUGAUAGACUUUUCUCUCUCUAAUUGUAUGAUACUAUGAAUAUUGAAUAACACAAGGUUCACAAUCUUGUCUUCUUCUGUUAUUAAAUAAUACUAACAAAUGGUGUAAAUACAGCUUAAAAAGACAUGUCGUUGUCACCACAAAGACACUAUGUAUCACACAGUAGCAGUGCUUUGACUCCAGCCAAAACAACCUCCCACUCAGGUGCACAGAAGGUUAGGUAUGUUGUUAUGACUCAGAUUUGGGUGAUUGGAGUAGGAGUGGGAAAGUAAAAGUGCUAGAGUAACUCAAGCAUUGAACUAAUUGUGAAGGGAGAUUAGUGGACUCUCCUUUCAUUCCUGUACUUUCUAAAAAAACCUGUGGAGAUGUCUCAGAAAAAAUUGAUCUUGGCUAGCUAGCAAACUCAACAUCAUCAAGCUCUUGUGUACCAUACUUGAGCAACAAUAUAUGUGCCAUUGCUGAUUGAGGGAUGGAUUAGGCUGGACAAAAUUUGACCGGACUUGAACAUUUGCCCAUUGCUGAAACUCGUCUAACCCUUUAUAAAGAUGGGGAAAGUUUGGUAAUUUAAAAUAUUGAUAUAGUUCUUUGUUUGAAUUUAUGUCCAUAAAAAUGUUACCUGUCCCAGUUUAUGGGUGCC